rnacentral:lncRNA from 1 species
UUCUUUUAUUCUUGUUUGAGCCUCUAUUCUUCUUUGCCACCUCCUCUGCUCUUUUCUGUUUAACACCCUUGGAAAUCUCAAGACCCUACUGUUUGAGAUGUGAUUGCUGUGGAAUGUGUUAUUACCGUCUCUCACCCAGACCAUUGUAAUAACCUCCUAAAUAAUCUCCGCUCCUUUCUCUCCCUUUGGAGAGGAAACAAUAUUAUUAUUUUGUAUUAUUAUUCAAAAUCUUUGUAUGUCUUUGUUAGGGUUUCCCUCCUCCCUGUGGGAGAAUUGUGCUCUUGUCUUUUGAUGUCGGACUUGACCCCAUGAUUUCCUCUGGUCAAUGAAAUGUAAUUAGAAGUAACUCAGGGCACUUGUGAGCAGAAGGUUUAAGAGGCAGCACCUGGUUCACUCUGUCUUUUUCCCUUCGCUAUGAGACUGGCAAGGUUCCAGAUAGCAACUGUUCUAGCAGCCAGGGUCCUGGAGAGAAGUCAACAUGAAGCAGAGCCACAGAUACGCCACAGAUAAGCUUAUGUAAUGAAGACACUUUCGGGAACUUUAAAAGAUGCCUACCACCAUUUGUCUCUCAUGAAGAUGUGAACUGCGACUGGAAACAGCUCAGUCUCUCACAGAUAGGAUCUCGCUGAUGCCCUGGAUACUGCCACAAGGGAUUCGCGUGGGCUGGAGUGCAGUAGCACCAUCACAGCUCACUGCAGCUGCAGGAUCACAGUUCAUUGCCCCUUCAACUUCCUGGCCUCAAGCCAUCCUUCUGCCUUGGCCUCCUGAGUAGCUUGGACUACUGGUGCUAGCCACCAUGCCCAGGAGGAUGAAAUUUAACCACAUCAAAGAAACCUACAGCUCUGAUACUCUCAGAAAAAAUAAGACUCAACACAAAGAGAGUAAAAAGAGUUAUUCUGUCAACGAAGGGUCUUGACCGAAUAAUGUAUACAUCAGAUCUUUUCAUCUUGCACUUCUUGGACACUGUGAUUCAAAAGGGAGAUUAUUUGUGUCAGUAAAGAAGUAUCCAUAAUGAUAAAACACAAGUACUUCAAAGAACAACCUGUGCUUCUCAAAAGGAAAAUAGUUUGGAUCCAUUUACUUUUCUCCUCUACUUCACAUUCUAAAUGACUGAGAAAAUGUCUUCUCGUUUUCAAUACAACCCAUGGGAAAUCAUACUCAAAUAAGUAGUAACUGAAUGAACUAAUCUGGAAAAGUGGUCCUCAAUUUGUUUCUGUAAUAUCAGCUAUCACAAUACUGCCUUGAUAUUUCAUACAAUUCUGCAGAGUAUAAAAAAGCAAAAGCCUCUAAAAGUUGGUACUAGAAUGUACUACACGCUCAAUAUAGACCACAAAAUGGAUCAGACAUGAAGCUUAGUAUUGUCUGUGUGCACAGUGUUUAAAUAUUCCCUUGUUUUAAAAGUGCCAGUGUUUGUUAAGUAACUUAAAAUAUUUGCCACAUGUAGCUUAUUUUUUUUACUUUUUAUUAUAUUUUUGUCAUAGGUAAAAAAGUGAAAAGAUUUAUGACAGUCAUUUUUUUAAAACUAAGUUAAGCUAUAUAAAUUGUUGUGAAAUAAAAUACAUUUUAAUUAUAUACAAUAAAGAUCCUAAUUUUAAUUUGCAAGUAUUUUCAAGAUUACAAGUAACGUUAUCAAUUGUUUUACUUAUAACAAUAUUCCUAGGGUGUCUACAUUUAAUAAUUCUAAGUUUUUAAAACAAUUUUAAACUAUUUCAUUUAACAGACAAUACAAACUAACUAAGAUAAAUUGAGAAAUAUAAAUAUCCCUCACCUGUGUUUUUAAAAUUAGAGACAACUUUUGUAUCAUUCCAGAUAUAAUUUAUACCUAUAUAAAUGUGUUUAUUUUAAAUGUGCCAUUUAAAAGAACUGGUUUAUGCUUUGAAAUGGCUGCAUAAUAUUCUACUCUACCUAGAUACCAUUAAAUAUUGAAUCAGCUCUCUAUUGUGUGUUUUUUGCUGUUGUUACUGACAGAUUUUGUAAUUACAAUGCAGAUUAAAAACUUGUUUUAAAAAAUGUGAUUUUGCUCAUAGACAUAUGUCUUUAGAAUACAUUCGUCAUAGUACAAUUGCUGAGACAAAGAGUUUACGCAUUUGGAAAUUUUAUAAAUAUUAUCACAUUGCUUUCUAUCAAUAUCAUCUCACAAGUAUAAUGACAAGUGAAAGAUACUAGGUAUGAACAUUUAUGUAGUAUUCAAAAGCAGAUAAGUUUAUUACCCUGUCAGAAGAUAGCAAAAUGAUUAACUUUAUGAAGGUUUCAAGCACUUAGUUUGAGGGAAGGCAGGAUAGGCAGUUUCAUGAGAAAGGUAUGUCCCAUCUCUUGAUCAGGGUGAAGUUUAAAUGGAGUUGUUUCCUUGAUGAUGCAUCAAAGUCACCACUUGAAAUUUGAUUACUUUUUAAUAUAUGCUAUACUUCAAAAUGUUUAUUAACAUGCAAAUCAUAUAAUGAAUUCCAUUAAUUUAGUGAGAGAAAUUUUUUUUAUAUGCUUCGAAGUCAUUUGUUUUGUUGUUUGCGUUUACUCAGAACAGUGUGUCAAUCUCCUUGACUGAUAUUUCUAUUGUUUCUAGCAGGUCAUUUAAUAGUUUAUAAUGUUUAUAUUUUCAAAGUUUAUUGGGGUGUAAUUUAUUUAUAAUACUGUACAUAUUUAAAGUUCAAAAUAAGUUAAGCCUUAACAUGUAUAUACAGCCAUGAACACAUAACCAUAAAGUAGGUCCUAAAUAUAUUCACCACUCACAAAUGUUUCCUUGUGAACCUUUGUCAUUCCACCCGCCCUUACUUCUUCCGCAUAAUCUCCAUCUAUAGCAACUACCAAUCUAUUUUCUGUUAUUAUAAAUUAAUGUGCAUUUUCUGGAAUUUUAUAUAAAUGGAAUCAUAUCAUAUGUACUUUGUUUUGUCUUGUUUUUUCAGUAAAAUUAUUUUGAGAUUCAUACAUGUUGUUACAUGUAUCAAUAGUUCAUUACUUUUUAUUGUUGAGUAGUAUUUCAUCAUAUGGAUAUGCCACAAUGUGUUCACACCUUAACAUAAAUUUGUCAAUGUAGUUUCCAGUCAUUGGUUAUUAAAUAUAAAGUUUCUUGAAAACUGAUCUAUAAGUAUUGAUAUGGAAUGUGAUUUCUUUUCUCUUGGGUAAAUUCCUGGAAGAAAAUUGGUUCUAUCAAAUGGUGUUUGCAUGUUUAACAGUUAUAGCCAAACCAUUUUCCAAAGUGGUUGUAAUAUUUUACAUUCCUCACAGCAGUGUAUGAGAAAUCAAAUUGUUCCAAAAGUUUGCUAAGACUUGUACAUUUAGAUGUAUCACCAAUUUUGGGUAAAUUUUUGUACUAAUUGUGAGUUGCAAUUGAGGUUCACUUUUUUAUAUGGAUACUCCUUUUUUUACACAAUACAUGUUGAAAGCAUCACCUUGUAUUAAUUGAACUGCCUUUGCAUCUUAUUAAAAUCAGUUUCAAUAUAUGUGAGGUUCUAUUUCUGAACUCUAUUCUCUGUUACAUUGAUUUAUGUGAACACUUUUUCACUGAAGCCACACUAUUUUGAGAACUGUAGUCUUGAAAUUGAGUAUUGGUAAUCCUCUAAAUGUGUUUGUUUUUAUAAAAAUUGUUUUGGCUAUUUAGAUCACUUUGCCAUUCAAAUAAAAUUUAAAAUCUGCUUGUUGAUAGCUACAGAAAAGUUACUGGCAUUUUAACUAGGAAUACAUUAAACUUAUAGAUAAGAUUGAGGAGAAUUGCCAUUUUAUUCUUCCAAUUAAUGGCUAUAUUACAUG